AAGAGAGGGGCGCACAGAUAUGUCAAGUGACGUAUCGGCUCCAUCUGUUCUGGAAGUGGUUUCUGUUGUAGGUAAAGCUGUCUGCGCAGGCGCGGCAUUGACAGCCGCUCUCUACUUGAUCCGCAGAGUGUGUUUAAUAAUGGCCUGGAAAUCAGGAGGAACUAGCCAAGCAGAGCUCGUCAACAACCUUCGCAAAAAUGGAAUUAUCAAGUCAGAUAAGGUCUAUGAAGUCAUGUUGGCCACAGACCGGGCUCACUUCUCACGCUGCAACCCCUACAUGGACUCACCUCAGUCUAUAGGCUACCAAGCCACCAUCAGUGCUCCACAUAUGCACGCCUACGCACUGGAGUUGCUUCACGAUCAGCUGUACGAGGGGGCGAAGGCUCUAGACGUGGGAUCCGGGAGUGGGAUACUCUCUGCUUGUUUCGCACGAAUGGUGGGUCCGAAAGGGAAGGUCAUAGGGAUUGAUCAUAUCAAGGAGCUAGUGGACGACUCUGUAAAUAAUGUAAAGAAAGAUGACCCCAGUUUGAUAUCUUCAGGCAGAGUGACACUGCUUGUGGGGGAUGGCCGAAUGGGUCACGAGGUAGAGGCGCCCUACGAUGCCAUCCAUGUUGGCGCAGCGGCACCUACAGUGCCACAAGCACUCCUGGAUCAGCUGAAGCCCGGCGGGCGGCUCAUCCUGCCCGUGGGGCCGGCUGGGGGCAACCAGAUGCUGGAGCAGUACGACAAGAUGGAGGACGGCAGCACCAAAAUGAAGCCCCUGAUGGGGGUGAUUUACGUGCCUUUAACAGACAAAGACAAGCAGUGGUCCAGGUGGAAGUGACUUCCUACUCCCUCUCCCCCCCUCCCUUCUUCUCCCCCUCUGGUGGCACAGGGAUGAACUCUGAAUCAGCAGACCGGCUAUAUCCAACAUUUCACUCUGAACUGGGGAGGGGGGGGAGUUUGGACUGGCCCCAAGCCAUUGGAUUUCAAACUAAAAGCUUCAUACAAAAGCAAAAAGGAAAGAACAAGCAGCACACACCCCAGCAUUGCAGUUGUAAUUCUUUUUUUUUUUCUCUCUCUCUCCAGUUGUGGAAGAGGGUUAUAAAGUGAGGUAACCCCUCUUGUAUGUGUAUGGACUAUGGGUUAUUUAAUGUAUACUACAGGUAAGGGGGUUAUCCUAUUUUGUUUUGUUUUUUUUUUAUAUAUAAUUUCCUAAAUUUUUUUUUCUUCUGCCGUUUUGGUGAUAAAUUCAGUAUUGGAAGCCUUUUUUUUGUUUUUAUUUCUUUUUGUGUUCUUUUAAUUCUCUUUUCCCCACACAUUUCAACUUCGAAGGAACUGAUCGCGAAAGAGUAGGAAUCCUCUGAGCUUGCUGUUUGGCUUUAAACUGGGGGUUUAAAAAGGCCCAUGGUGGAGAGCAUAACAUAAAAUCACUUCACAGUAGCUGCCGUGUGUGCGACGUGCUGGUCGAUGUAGAUAAAAUGAAUCGCUCUUUGACGCUAACAUACCUUUGACGCUUCCUCCCCGCUAACUGUAAGGAGAGCCACGCACCGCCUGCAGUUCCACAGCGGCUAAAUUCCACCGUCCCAUGUGUAGUUGUUUGAUAUGCAGCACUAAACACAAAGUGGCAUUGUCGAUGUCCCUCCUAGUCUUGGCACCGUGGAAACAUGUGAGUGGACUGUUUUUUUUUUUUUUCUUCGUUGCGCUCUUCUGUUUCACCUCUACCCAUUCAGCGUGGAACUGGCUUUUCUACACAACCAUCAACGAAAGCAACGCCGCGCACAAUCGCACAUUAACAAAUGAACUGGGCUGAGCUUUGGUUUCUCUCCUCCGUCACAGUCGUAUUGCCCGCUGACUCCUUGUUUUCCAUGACAACGUUGUAUGCUGGCCCCAAUUGUGGUGACGUUCCACUUAUAAAGAAUGGCUUUGCCAAAAUAAACCUCGACGCAAAGCACAUGAAUGUCUUGCCAUUUUCUUUCUGUCAACAUGGUUUACCCAUGACUGUAUUUUUGUCUUUUUUUUUCUUUUUCCGGAAUGGCACACUAAAUAAAAUAAAGCUUAAAAAAAAUAAAAACGUUCUUGUCA